rnacentral:rRNA from 1 species
UGGGGAAUUGUUCACAAUGGGCGCAAGCCUGAUGACGCAACGCCGCGUGGGGGAUGAAGGUCUUCGGAUCGUAAACCCCUGUCGAAUGGGACGAAAGACUCGCGAGUGAAUACUUCGCGAGAGUGACGGUACCGUUAAAGGAAGCCACGGCUAACUCUGUGCCAGCAGCCGCGGUAAUACAGAGGUGGCAAGCGUUGUUCGGAAUUACUGGGCGUAAAGGGCGCGUAGGCGGCCCUCUAAGUCAGACGUGAAAUCCCCCGGCUUAACCUGGGAACUGCGUCUGAUACUGGAGGGCUUGAGUAUGGGAGAGGGAUGUAGAAUUCCAGGUGUAGCGGUGAAAUGCGUAGAUAUCUGGUGGAAUACCGGUGGCGAAGGCGGCAUCCUGGACCAUUACUGACGCUGAGGCGCGAAAGCUAGGGGAGCAAACGGGAUUAGAUACCCCCGUAGUCCCUGAGCGGGCUGGCAAGGCGCAU